GAUGAAGAACGCAGCGAAAUGCGAUACGUAAUGUGAAUUGCAGAAUUCAGUGAAUCAUCGAAUCUUUGAACGCAUAUUGCGCUCUCUGGUAUUCCGGAGAGCAUGCUUGUUUGAGUAUCAGUAAACACCUCAACUUCCAUAUCUUUUUUGAAAUGGGAGUUGGACUUGAGUGAUCCCAACGCUUUUCCUCACCGAAAAGUGGCGGGUUACUUGAAAUGCAGGUGCAGCUGGACUUUUCUCUGAGCUAUAAGCAUAUCUAUUUAGUCUGCCUAAAAAACAGAUUAUUACCUUUGCUGCAGCUAACAUAAAGGAGAUUAGUUCUUGUGCUGACUGAUGCAGGAUUCACAAAGACAGGCUUCGGCCGACUUUGUAAACUCGAUCUCAAAUCAAGUAAGACUACCCGCUGAACUUAAGCAUAUCAAUAAGCGAGGA
rnacentral:misc_RNA from 1 species